rnacentral:rRNA from 1 species
AGAGUUUGAUCCUGGCUCAGGACGAACGCUGGCGGCGUGCCUAACACAUGCAAGUCGAACGGGGUCGGCCCCUUCGGGGACUGACUUAGUGGCGAACGGGUGAGUAACGCGUGAAUAACCUGCCUUUCAGUGGGGGACAACAGUUGGAAACGACUGCUAAUACCGCAUGAUGUUUCCGGGAGGCAUCUUCUGGAAACCAAAGCUUUAUGUGCUGAAAGAUGGAUUCGCGUCUGAUUAGCUAGUUGGUGAGGUAACGGCUCACCAAGGCGACGAUCAGUAGCCGGUCUGAGAGGAUGAACGGCCACAUUGGGACUGAGAUACGGCCCAGACUCCUACGGGAGGCAGCAGUGGGGAAUAUUGGGCAAUGGGGGAAACCCUGACCCAGCAACGCCGCGUGAAGGAAGAAGGCCUUCGGGUUGUAAACUUCUUUUAGCAGGGACGAAGGACGUGACGGUACCUGCAGAAAAAGCAACGGCUAACUACGUGCCAGCAGCCGCGGUAAUACGUAGGUUGCAAGCGUUGUCCGGAUUUACUGGGUGUAAAGGGCGUGUAGGCGGAGAUGCAAGUUAGGAGUGAAAUCCAUGGGCUCAACCCAUGAACUGCUUCUAAAACUGUAUCCCUUGAGUAUCGGAGAGGCAAGCGGAAUUCCUAGUGUAGCGGUGAAAUGCGUAGAUAUUAGGAGGAACACCAGUGGCGAAGGCGGAUUACUGGACGGUAACUGACGGUGAGGCGCGAAAGCGUGGGGAGCAAACAGGAUUAGAUACCCUGGUAGUCCACGCUGUAAACGAUGGAUACUAGGUGUGCGGGGACUGACCCCCUGCGUGCCGCAGUUAACACAAUAAGUAUCCCACCUGGGGAGUACGAUCGCAAGGUUGAAACUCAAAGGAAUUGACGGGGGCCCGCACAAGCGGUGGAUUAUGUGGUUUAAUUCGAAGCAACGCGAAGAACCUUACCAGGUCUUGACAUCCUGCUAACGAAGUAGAGAUACAUUAGGUGCCCUUCGGGGAAAGCAGAGACAGGUGGUGCAUGGUUGUCGUCAGCUCGUGUCGUGAGAUGUUGGGUUAAGUCCCGCAACGAGCGCAACCCCUAUUGUUAGUUGCUACGCAAGAGCACUCUAGCGAGACUGCCGUUGACAAAACGGAGGAAGGUGGGGACGACGUCAAAUCAUCAUGCCCCUUAUGACCUGGGCUACACACGUAAUACAAUGGCGGUCAACAAAGGGAUGCAAAGCCGCGAGGCAGAGCGAACCCCAAAAAGCCGUCCCAGUUCGGAUCGCAGGCUGCAACCCGCCUGCGUGAAGUCGGAAUCGCUAGUAAUCGUGGGUCAGCAUACCACGGUGAAUACGUUCCCGGGCCUUGCACACAAGGCCCGUCA